rnacentral:miRNA from 1 species
UCAUGAUCGUGGCCAUGGUCGUGGUCAUGGUCAUGAUCGUGGUCAUGGUCGUGGUCAUGAUCGUGAUCAUGGUCGUGAGCGUGAUCAUGACCAGCG